AUUGAACGCUGGCGGCAUGCCUAACACAUGCAAGUCGAACGAGUGGCGGACGGGUGAGUAAUGUCUCGGAACCUGCCCGAUGGAGGGGGAUAACUACUGGAAACGGUAGCUAAUACCGCAUACCAUCAGAUUUGCCCAGAUGGGAUUGGCUGGUUGGUGGGGUAACGGCUCACCAAGGCGACGAUCCCUAGCUGGUCUGAGAGGAUGACCAGCCACACUGGAACUGAGAAACGGUCCAGACUCCUACGGGAGGCAGCAGUGGGGAAUAUUGGACAAUGGGCGAAAGCCGGAUGCAGCCAUGCCGCGUGUAUGAAGAAGGCCUUCGGGUUGUAAAGUACUUUCAGCGGGGAGGCGUUACCCGCAGAAGAAGCACCGGCUAACUCCGUGCCAGCAGCCGCGGUAAUUC
rnacentral:rRNA from 1 species